UGAGAGGUAGCUCAAUGGCAGAGCGGCGGCCUGUUAAGCCGAAGGUUGUGGGUUCGAGUCCCACCCUCUCAG
rnacentral:tRNA from 1 species